rnacentral:rRNA from 1 species
UACGGGGGGAGCAAGCGUUGUUCGGAUUUACUGGGCGUAAAGGGCGCGUAGGCGGCCACCGCAAGUCGACUGUGAAAUCUCCAGGCUUAACCUGGAACAGUCGGAGGGGACUGCUGGGCUAGAGGACGGGAGAGGAGCGCGGAAUUCCCGGUGUAGCGGUGAAAUGCGUAGAGAUCGGGAGGAAGGCCGGUGGCGAAGGCGGCGCUCUGGAACGUUUCUGACGCUGAGGCUCGAAAGCGUGGGGAGCAAACAGGG